UCUCAGCCAUGACCAUGAAGAGCGUCGGUAGAGCAGCCUUGGAGAUGGUCGAGGAAGUCCGCAGACAGUUCAACAGCAUCCCGGGGCUCAUGGAGGGUACUGCCAAGCCCGAUUAUGCAACCUGUGUUAAGAUCUCCACAGAUGCUUCCAUCAAGGAGAUGAUUCCUCCUGGUGCUCUGGUGAUGCUCACCCCCCUAAUUGUCGGGACCUUCUUCGGUGUCGAGACCCUAUCUGGGGUUCUUGCCGGUGCCCUUGUUUCUGGAGUUCAGGUAUGUGGAAAGUAGCUAGCAUAAUGUUUUCAUUAUGAGAAUCUUGUGCGUAUCGUGUCGAUAAUUGUUCUUGUUUGUUAAACAGAUUGCUAUCUCUGCAUCAAACACUGGCGGUGCAUGGGACAAUGCAAAGAAGUAUAUCGAGGUAAUUUUAUUGAUAUCUUCUCAUCUUGAUGAUGUUCUUCCGUCCGAACACAAACGCAACCAUUGUUGAUGUCAAUAAUGUAUCAUUCAGGCCGGUGCAUCAGAGCACGCGAGAGCACUUGGCCCUAAAGGUUCCGAUGCCCACAAGGCUGCAGUGAUCGGCGAUACCAUCGGGGAUCCUCUAAAGGACACGUCGGGGCCGUCGCUCAACAUCCUCAUCAAGCUGAUGGCGGUGGAGUCGCUCGUGUUCGCACCAUUCUUUGCGGCUCACGGCGGCCUCCUCUUCAAGAUCCUCUGAGAUGGGAGAGGGGGGGGGACCGAGAGUGGGAAGGAGGCACCACCACGAGCUCCACUUCCACCUCCAUGUUCUUCUGCUACUGAUGCCAAACCUCUGUCACCCUGUCAACUGUUUGGCCUACCCAGUUUUCCGUCUUUAUGGUUAGUUCGUGUUGUAGUUCCAUGCAAGUCGGCACCUGCAAAGCCCCAUCGUGGACUUUGGAGCCAAGCAAGCUUUUCUUGUACUCGGUGAUGAUGAUAAUGGUGUUGACAGUUUUCUUUUCUUUUAAAUGGUGAUGAUAGUUGGAAAUGAUUCACCAAUAAGUUUUCUGCUGGCCAUAGCUACAGGGAGUUGGGUGUCUAAUGUCAUCAUCAUACAUGAUGCAGCCCAAGAUUUGAAAUUAAGAUUAAUUGAUUUUAUUAAUCAUCAUACAAAGCAUACGUGAUUGAUUUCGUAAAGGUCAAAAAAGAAAACUCAAAGCCUACAAAAUUUGCUUGAGUAAUUAUGUUAUUGUUUUCUCACCUUAUUAGGUGUUCGG
rnacentral:lncRNA from 1 species